rnacentral:rRNA from 1 species
GACGAACGCUGGCGGCGUGCCUAACACAUGCAAGUCGAGCGAAUGAAGUUCCUUCGGGAAUGGAUUUAGCGGCGGACGGGUGAGUAACACGUGGGCAACCUGCCUCAUAGAGGGGAAUAGCCUUCCGAAAGGGAGAUUAAUACCGCAUAAGAUUGUAGUAUCGCAUGAUACAGCAAUUAAAGGAGCAAUCCGCUAUGAGAUGGGCCCGCGGCGCAUUAGCUAGUUGGUGAGGUAACGGCUCACCAAGGCGACGAUGCGUAGCCGACCUGAGAGGGUGAUCGGCCACAUUGGGACUGAGACACGGCCCAGACUCCUACGGGAGGCAGCAGUGGGGAAUAUUGCACAAUGGGGGAAACCCUGAUGCAGCAACGCCGCGUGAGUGAUAACGGCCUUCGGGUUGUAAAGCUCUGUCUUCAGGGACGAUAAUGACGGUACCUGAGGAGGAAGCCACGGCUAACUACGUG